rnacentral:rRNA from 1 species
UUAGUGGCGGACGGGCGAGUAACGCGUGGAAAACCUGCCGUAUACUGGGGGAUAACACUUAGAAAUAGGUGCUAAUACCGCAUAAGCGCACAGCUUCGCAUGAAGCGGUGUGAAAAACUCUGGUGGUAUACGAUGGUUCCGCGUCUGAUUAGCUAGUUGGUGGGGUAAUGGCCUACCAAGGCAACGAUCAGUAGCCGGCCUGAGAGGGUGAACGGCCACAUUGGGACUGAGACACGGCCCAAACUCCUACGGGAGGCAGCAG